GUGCUCGCUUAGGCAGCACAUAUGCUAAAAUUAGAACAACAUAGAAAAGAUUAGCAUGGCCCCUGAGCAAGGAUGACAUGCAAAUUCAUGAAGCAUUCCAUAUUUUU
ensembl:snRNA U6 U6 spliceosomal RNA